GUAGACACACGUGCGUUCAGGUGCGUGCAAGUGUACCCACCUGGUACCUGAUGUGUCUCGACUUGUCUCUCACAGAUUUAAUAGCUGAAAAAGCAGACAUGUUACAGGGCGGAUGGAUAUCGAGUGUGUACACACGCUACGACAACGCUAUCGGUCUUUCAAUCUCCCAAAAGAAGAUGUAACAAGCUCAGAAGGGGGACAUACCCAUUUUCUGCUUUCAUUAUGACUGAAUGCUAGUUUCCGCUGUGGAGCAGUGUCUGUCUAUAACAAUAGAACGUCACCUCCUGUUGAGCCCGUGGGACAUGCCGGGAGAGGACAGCGCUGGUUCGGGCGGGGAGAGUCGGACCCAAACCCGACCGGUCCCCGGAUGACCGCUCUGUCAGGUCUCUGUGAUGGUGUUUUUUGGCCUCUCCGGGUGAAGAGGAUGGAAGUGAGAC